rnacentral:lncRNA from 1 species
CGCGCAUUCAACUCGAUUCCAGAAGCAGUUGGGCUUCCUGCUUCCGAGAGAAGCAACGGGGAAGUUCAGUUUCCAUCGCGGCACACGGAGAAAAAACGACGACCUCGCAAUCCGUCUCCCCAGUCUUCGUCUCCGAAGCGCUGUUUCUUUCUCGGAGCACUCCGCUUCAACACCAAAGCGCGAAAAGUUUGGAUGGAGACGCGCAGACAUCUCCUUUGUUCCGGCGAAUUCUCGAAGAACGGGAACGGGGCGCUUUCCUGCAGCAGACACACAGACCUACGGACGCGCGCCUGCGGCUGCUUGUCCUUCCUUCUUGCUUUCCGUCCGAAGUCUCACGGCAGAUCAAAGUUCAGAAUUUCUCGCACUUUUAGCUGGUCGUUUAGAUGGAUUAUAAGGCUAUUUUAGUGUGCAACCAGCUCAUCUCAUCGUAUGUGUGUGUGUGUGUUAAGCCGUGCAAGUAGACGAUUCGUGAUUUUGCCCACAAAGUCGCUCUGCGCUCGCCGUAGACCUCUUCACUCCUCAAAUAUUCAGUGUUUCUGUUCAUUCCGUUUUCCUCCACCUCGCUACGUGACUCCACAUCUUGGAGAGAGGGUCAAGAAUCUGCUGCAGAUACUCGAGACUUGUUGGACUCUGUUUCUCGCCCGCUGCUUCCGAGCAAACGCGACGGACUCCCGCGAGUCCUGGAACAUCCUCUCUUGUGUAGGCGUAACAGUCCCUUUCGGCUGCUCUUUGCUUUCUUUCCUCAGGGCAUACACACUGUCGAGCGUGUAGAUUUUUCUUGUGGUUCGUUUUGAGCUCACGACCUGGUCUGCUUUUCCAGUUAAUAGACGGGUAUUGCACAGCAGACGGGGCACCGAACAGAAGAUUUCUAUUGUCAGUUGCCGGACGUUUUCCCCGUCCAUGGUGCUGACGAAAACAUAAGAACAGCUUGAUUUGUUUGCGACUCGGUUUUUGCCGUACGCCCGGUCUCCCGCGUUUUGGAAACGCCCUCUCAGUCGAUUGCAUUGUCUCCAUUCGGGCACAGUGACAUGCGGUAAAGGCUCUUGGAUCUGCAAAACAAAACUUGUCGCCAUCUCCAUCAGUAGUCGAACUCGUAGGGGAUACUCCACCACCCGAGGAUCAACAUAGAUACUCAGGGGCAAGGGAAUCCUUGCACGGUUGGUGCCUCCGUUCCCAGAAGGAACUUACAUAUAAUCCUGUGUCAGAGAUUACCACCCCCUGGAGGAUAGUACGGAUCAUACUAAUGAUCUGAGCAGAGGAUUUCUGCUGUUUUUAAAUACCGUUGACGAACCGCAACCCAUAUGCUGGACCUAUAGACUCAUAGAUGUACUGGAGGAUCGGUGUAAGCUUUUUGCAUGCGUUCGCGCGUUUCUUCAGAGCUCCUUGUCGUAGCACAUCUCCGAGUUGGGUGUACUUCCAUGAGAUAUUCCACGACUUCAUGCCAUGGGUGGUGAAGAAUGUUCU